CGGGGCGUGGCUCAGACUGGUAGAGCACCGCGUUCGGGACGCGGGGGUCGGAGGUUCAAAUCCUCUCGCCCCGACCA
rnacentral:tRNA from 1 species